rnacentral:lncRNA from 1 species
AGAUCUUGAAUCUUAUUGGGGAAUAGGAUUAAACCUAAACCCCAUGUGAUAUUUAUCUACGCGUCCCAUCUCUUUUCAUGGGGUGAAAAAUACCUCAUGCCCUAUUAUGAUGCACCGCCCCAUCUCUUCUCUUCCUCCCGUGGAAAAGGAGGCACCCCAAUCUCCUCUUGGUUGCCGCCCCAAAAGAAAAAGAAAGAAGGAAGGGGGCGUCCAACCCUUGGACGCCCCAACAUUUCACACGCCA